UGAAGAUAGCAUCCAUAAAAGACAGCAUAAAGUUAGCAAGUCCACCAAAAUGCAUAACUGAUAUUAUUUGUGAUCAUGUUCUUCUUGAUUGAAAACGUUGGAUGGUCUUUUCAUCCGAACUUGCGUCAAAGCAUAAUGGAAGAGGUGUAGUUUUAUUAAGGAUGCCCAAGUUUGUUGUUCCUUCACCAAACACAAUGUAAAUCCUCAAGCCAUCAAUAUUCUCGAUAGCCCAACAACAUGCAGAUUUUAGUACAAUAACACACAAACAUUGUGUACAACUGGGAAGCUGACUAAGUGACUGAGUAGUUCUACAGAAAUUUAAACAAUCCAACUUUCCUUUAUCUUAUGCACAAUGAUAUGAACAUGAGGAGAACAGCAGACCUCUACAAAUGUAGACACUUAUUUUGAAAAUUUUGAACACUGAACAUACUGUUCUUUGAAAAUUUUGUUAUGUGCCUACAUCUACACUGAGCGUUUUUUGCUGGUAAAAUGUUGUCCCAAAUGAUAAAAUAAAGAUCGCAUUAAUAAAGAACAGUAUAGUUUGUAAAACAUAACGAAUUAGUCAAACUAUAUGGCCGUCUGUUGUACCAACUGGAUCAUGUCCGUUAACUCCCAAGAUAUCAUCAGUGGUGUGCAGAAAAAUGUUUCUUUUCCGCAUGAAUAACACCACAGCUACCUCCAGCAGCAGACUUGUAAAUUAUGCAGAGUAUUCAGUUGACUACUUCACCGCCUCUCCUAUGAAAUAGAGACAGAGCACAUUAACACUACAGUUGCAGCAGAGUAGUCAUUUGCAUACUUUGCAAGACAGUACACAAAACUUGGAAUUUUUUUUUGCGAGGGACACAACACUUGAUCGAUGUGCUCAGUUUGAAAUAGGAAGAAGAACCAAAACGGUACAGGUUGUCCUUCAAGUGAAAUAACUUCUUUUGGUUCGUUAUAUGGCAUAGGACAACAUAUAUGGCAAUCGCAAGAAAAUGAACAGAAACUGAAAGUAGAGGUCACCAACAUUUUUCAUGGAUAUAUGUACACAGUGGUUUGACUGUUUGAAAGAUAGAAGAUACAACCCUUAGAUGCUUCUUCAGUUCACAACGAAAUUCCAACAUCCAUACAUACAUUAUUGGAAGAGAAAUAAAACAACAUUUAUCUCAAAAGAAAGGAAAAGAAAGGAAAAAGAGACAUCCGCUAUAAAUCAUAACCUUGGCGUAUUUUGGAGUGUAGAACAUUUCACAUGGAAGAACAACAUUGGUGUAUUUUGCCAACGCUAUAAAUCAGAACCUGAAGUCGGCAAAUGAUGGUUAACUUUGAAAGAAGGGGCCAUGGUCAUAUUUACUAUGUGUCGUGCUGAAAUAAAACCUCCAAGAAAACUGCCAACCAAACUGAAUAAAAUCAUGUUAAGCUGUACUCUGUAAUCAAACCACAGAGGAAUAAUCCGCAAGGAAAACUUAGUUAUGGACAACAACUUGUAAUCUAAUACAGUAUACUAUUAUUUUGCACAAAAUAAUUUGUCAGGAAAUAUUACUGCGUGUGAACCAUACAAGUGAAGAUUGUGGUAUUAAGUAGUACAAAUAAUCACAUUAUACACGUUCCUCCUCAAUCUGCUAGAUGGCGAUGGCAUAAAAGCGAAGUAAUGCUGAAAAAAAGAGUAUAAUUUGUAACAAUUAAAAUCCUAGUAUAAAAUGCACAGAAGGCUAUGAUAUUCAUGCAGUUAUAAUACAGAUUGACCUAAGAACCAUCAACAACAACACAAUUCGACCCUGCAUAUAUAUGACCCACUUAGAUAGAUUAAAACAGAGAUAAAGAACGUAAGCAUAUAGCAGUUUGAUUUCAUAUUUUGCAAUGGUCCAUCCUUGCAAAAUGCAGAGAAAGCUUGGCACUUCAAAUAUAGCAGAGGAAAAAUAAAAAUACUACUCACCUAUGCAGUAAUAGGGCCAACUGUAUACGACGUAAAAGGGACCAAAGAGCUUUAAUCCAAUAAUGAAAUACUACACCUAAACAUUAACAAAAUGGAAUAAGGAGGUAGCAUAUGGUGUUGCUUACCUAUACGCCACAACCUAGUGUGAUCUCUUCAAUCUGGUUAGUAGUAAGGUUUUUUUGGUGUUCUGUAACCCAUAGCUUAUUAGGUUCAGAUGGGACCAAUUGACGUAAUAGGCUAAUAGCUAAAAGCUUCUAUCAUUAAAAGCUAAAAAUCACCACAUGCGUGAUCUUAACAGUGACCUAAAGGAUUUGCAUAGACUAACUUAAUGUAAAAUGUAGCACUAAUUAACUUACUGUUGAUAAUCAUAUACACUUUGAAGUUAAGCCAUACAUGUUCUGUACAUGGGCUGAGUUAUUUAGCAUAGAAUGCUAUCCUACGAACUUGUGAAUGGUCGAAGAAGUUGGUACUGACAAAAUGCUUUAGAAGCAAUGGGGAGAGGAAGAGACAUCACCUAAACUGAAAAUUCUAGGAAACAUAGAGACCCACGCACAGUUUCUCAGAAACUUCAGAAAUUGUACACAAACAUGGUGUGCAGUACACUAACUGUGGUUAGCAACAACAAAUGGUUUCUUUAAUUGGAGUGCAUAAUUUGCAUAGGAGAGUAAAGUUACAGCAAUACAACUUUGAAAAGCUUUAUUAGACAUAGCAAGAACUGGAAUACCUUUCGUAAAAUAAACGUGUAAGCAUUUUUAAGAUAAAUUUCAAUCUUAUCAAAAUAUGACAACAGUGAAAACUAUUUUCCAAACAAAUUAAGGGAUGCUUUUUAAUCAGACCACUAAUACUAAUCAUACUUUUUUGCGGGGAAAUACAAAUCAUACAAAUAUAUGAUUUAUACAGUUUAAUAUGUGUGAAAGAGGCAUACCCAAUAAACUGUCUGUUGUGCCCUUCUGGUCAUUUUUUUAGCAAUUCACGUCGAAGAGACUUUGAGAUUUUGACUUGGCAUAACUGAAAGGAUAAUUGUGUUUCAAAGAGUAGUUGAGAAAAAUAGAUCCAUGAUAUAUACGAAACAGAAAACUAUAGCCUAUACAGUAAUCACUGUUCAAACAUAUAUACAUAGACGUAACCACAGAAUUAAAUGAAUAUCAAAUGUUAUAGGUAGCUACAUCAUUGGAAUUUUAUGAAUUAAUAAAGAGUAUACAAACAAAUUGAAACAUACGUACUUAUAGUAAAGGUUGGGAACACUAAAGGUCCUGCAACCUACAUAUUUCCCCUACAAUAGUGCCGAGAUAUUUGUAUGUUGGGAAGUGACCAAACUACAAAUAGUCGUAUAAGAAAAUAGUGAUGGCAAAUCUUUAUGGUUAAUGCUUUCACAUUAUUUUCAGAGACAUAUUGUUUCCUAACAAAUCUACAAGUUCUGAAGGAAUUUAACCUUUUUGGUGCAUGCUAAAUAUCAGCAUCCUAUAUAUAUCAGACAUAGAACAUAAGGAAAGAGAAAACUAGAAAAGUCAACUAUAUUGCAAAAUUGAAAAGAAUUCAUAGCCUGCAGCAGUAAAGAAAAGUCAACUGUAUGGGGAUAUGAGAUUAUCCCUCAGCUGUAAAGAAAAAAAGGAAUCCUGCAGCGACAUAAAAUUUAUAGCAGUUUCAAUUUUAGGAAAUUUUCAUCUGUAUGUUUUCUUUUAUUCUUAGCCAUCAUCAAUACAGAGUACCUUUUAAAUCAGCAUAUGAACAAUGUGUAAAACUUGUAAACUAAAGUACUCCAUGCAGCUAGCUUAAGAGCCAGACAAAUCAAUACGAUCUCUCAGCCAUGGACAUCACAACAGAUAGAAUAAGUUGGAAGGAAAUGGCCUGAUUCACACCAGACCACACCAGCCAAACCCACCCCCGCCACUACAGCCGAGCCUCACCAACAAAGUAAAGCCAUAGCCCAUCACCGUAGCAAGAGUAAAUAGCAUAAAACUACUACUUUACAGGUUAGGGUUUCAAAAAACUACUGGUUUUUAAUUUUUCGCUGAUAACUAAAAAGUCAGGGGUUGGCUGUUUCAAAAAAACCAUAAUCACUUGGUGCUUUAAAAUUGAUCGUGAUUAUGACAGUUGGGACCCGCACGUAAGAGAACCGUUUGUUUGACCGUUUAUUUGACUGUUACCUUACAUGUAGGGCCCACAUGUCAGUAUUUCUGUAAGUUUUUUAGAAAAGCAAUCGGGUCCCUGUAACUUUUUAAAAAAGCAAUCGGGUCCCUGAAUGUUUUAUGGAAAAAGCAAUCGGGCCCUUGCUCCUCUGUGUGCGCUCUCCCGUGCUCAAGAUCGAGAGGAGCGCGCCCGUCACCGUGCCCGCCGGCCAGCAGCCGCCGUAAAGAGCGCGCCGGCCAGAAGCCAUGGCGCCGCUGCGGAGAUCCCUCCCGUCGCCCGUCCGAUGGGCGCCGCCGCGGAGCUCCCUUCCAGCGUGCGUGGCGGCCGCGACCUCCUCCUGCCGACGAGCUCCCUCGCCGCACGGCCUAUCUCUCUCUCUCUCUCCCUUUCCUGGGCGUGGCGACCUGAGCCCGUGGCCAUGGAGCUCGGCUGGCGGCGGCCCUGGCCAUGGCGCAAGGAUGGCGGCGGCCCAUGCCCCUGGACGCGGCGGGCCGAGUCCCUGCCCCCGGCCAUGGCGAGCAGUUGGUGGCGGCCCGUGCUGCUGGGUGGCAGCUGGUCCUCCGCGCGGCGCUCCUUCCCGCGGUCGGCCAUGGUUUGCGUGCAGCGGGUGGUGGAGCUUUGGCCUUGGUCAGGAGAAGGAAGAGGAUAAAAGAUAAGAGGAAGAAGAGAGAACUUACAUGUGGGUCCCACAUGUAAGUUAACGGUCAAACAAAACGGUCAAACAAACGGAUUAUUUAGGAGUGGGUCCGACCUGUCAUAAAACGGUUUAAGUCACUAGCAACGAGUUAUUAGGGUUUUUUGAAACAGCCAACCCUUGACUUGGUAGUUAUCAGCGAAAAAUUAAAAAUCGGUAGUUUUUUGAAACCGUAGCCUGUAAGUAGUAGUUUUAUGCUAUUUACUCCCGCGGCAAGGUAAACACGAAAACCUCACCAGACGAUGCGGAACAAUGAAUGCGCUCCAUGCAAUCCAGAACCCAAUCGGCCGCACCAACAUCAGGAAGCCAAGCCCUACACGAAGACUCCGCCAUUCCACCCAUAACCCAAAAAUCAUGGCGCCCAAUCAAACGACACCGCACGUGCAAGCACCACCGCAACAACAGUACAUGACAAUCCCAAACAAACAAAGAAGAGCCGACGAUGAAGGAAAAGGAACACAGUAACACACCAAUCUGGACGUAGACUGCCGUAGUAGCCGAACCGAAACCGAAAGAAGACCAAGACGGACGGCCCAUGCAGCGAUGGCGGCAGCGCCCUCUACCAGCAGCAGGAAGAUGCACCGCCCCCACAGAAAUCUGAGUCUCCGACCACCGCACCCCCUCUCAAAUCAAAGAAACCUUUGAUCAGAUUCGCAGCGGG
rnacentral:lncRNA from 1 species